rnacentral:tRNA from 1 species
UGCGCUGCUGCGGCGCAUGGCGGCCGGCGCGGCGCCGGCGGCGCCGCAGGCGAUGCGCGUCGUCGGCGCGUUCGAGCACGACACCGAGG